rnacentral:rRNA from 1 species
GACGAACGCUGGCGGCGUGCUUAACACAUGCAAGUCGAACGGAAAGGCCUGCUUUCCCUUGUGGAUUGCGGGUACUCGAGUGGCGAACGGGUGAGUAACACGUGAGUGAUCUGCCCCCAACUUGGGUAUAAGCCUGGGAAACUGGGUCUAAUUCCCGAUAGGACUGCAGGGCGGUGCCUGUGGUGGAAAACGAUUUUCUAGUGGUUGGGGAUGAGCUCGCGGCCUAUCAGCUUGUUGGUGGGGUAAUGGCCUACCAAGGCGGCGACGGGUAGCCGGCCUGAGAGGGUGGACGGCCACAUUGGGACUGAGAUACGGCCCAGACUCCUACGGGAGGCAGCAGUGGGGAAUAUUGCACAAUGGGCGGAAGCCUGAUGCAGCGACGCCGCGUGGGGGAUGACGGCCUUCGGGUUGUAAACUCCUUUCGACCGCGAGGAAGCCACCUGGUUGGAAGGGUGGUGACGGUAGUGGUAGAAGAAGCACCGGCUAACUACGU